UUGCAAUCUUUCCACUAUCACAAUUUUAACGAGAUAGAGUCAUUUUUCGAAUGUUUUGCAGUCAACUCUGCACUUUUUCGAUGUAAAUUCACGAGAGCAGAUCCUUCUCUUCUUUAUUUCAGUAUAAAAAAAAUUAGCAGACCUUGUAAAUCUCUCAAAAUCGGACAACUAUGAUCGAAGCGGUCCGUGAUCCAGAAAAUGAAUUUUGAAAUUUGAAUAUUUGAAAUCCCCGGCAGAAUUGCUUAACCGCCAAAUUCAACGAAGAAUCAUUUCCCCUCAAGAUUUUCAAUCAGUAUUAUCAAGAAUACAUGGAUACUUCAGAUUUCGAGCAGAAUGAACAAUACGACCGACGUGGAUCCGGAAUAUUUUUGGGUUAUACGGAUUUGUGCGAACGCUUUCAACGUUUACUUAACUAUGCUUCAAUUUACGUUCUACGAUAACGCCCUAAAUAUGGAACCGGCCACUGACAGUAGGUUGCAGACAUUUUGACCUAUCCGUUGUUCAUGGCCGCGGUGGAUUUCCUGGUCUACACGAUAGUGCAAUAAUACAAAAGAAAGAAAACGGAACAGCGAAGAAAGUCACAAGCAUAACGGCAAAUUUUAUUCCAUGAAAUUAUUUCACGUGUAUCUACAAUUUAUAAAUAUAUUUUAAAAUCUAUAAUAUGCAUUAUCAAAA